ACGUGGGUGGCAAACGUUGUUCGGAAUCACUGGGCAUAAAGAGUCCGUAGGCGGUCAUACAAGUCAGGUGUGAAAUCCCAGGGCUCAACUCUGGAAUUGCACUUGAUACUGUAUGACUAGAAUACUGGAGAGGUAAGCGGAAUCCAUGGUGUAGCGGUGAAAUGCGUUGAUAUCAUGGAGAACACCGAUGGCGAAGGCAGCUUACUGGCCAAGUAUUGACGCUGAGAGACGAAAGCCAGGGUAGCGAAAGGG
rnacentral:misc_RNA from 1 species